rnacentral:lncRNA from 1 species
AUGUUGAAGUUCGUGAAAGUGAGAUGCGAGAUGCGAGAAAAGGCAGGAAUAUAUAUAAGCUUUGACGCUGCGGGAAUCGCAAGAGUUGAAUGCCUGUCGAGUGUCAAAAUAGUUAAUAGGGCUAUUAGGAGCCAUUGUUGUGGGGUUCAGACAUUGAAGAAGUGAAACGGAAGAGUCGUAAUAGUUGAUAUUUGGCGAUGAGAAUGAAUCAAAUUCUGUUGUGACCCACAUGGGGUUCAAUUAUUCUAUUAUGACCCCAUGUAUAUUUGAUUUUAUUUUUUAUUUAAAUUUAAGUCAAA